GUUUUCAGUGUCUCAUGCCUUAUGGCUCCUGCUAACUUAUUUUGGGUCAUGUCUUCCCUAUUAGUGUCCAGUAACUCCAAGGACGGGGAUGAUGUCUUUUCAUCCCUUGCGAGCGCCUGUGACCCUCAGGCAGGUUCGUGCCUGAAGCCCUUGUUUACCUUCGCAACAGAGAUGGAGGGGAGACUGGAAAGUGGGAAUUCCUAAAGGAAACUGGUUUUCCUUCUGGUUUGCCCGACCAGACUCUAAUCAACCUGAUGGAUGCAGCCCCAGGCUCUAUGGACUCUCUCUGUGGACUCAUGGUGAUUUUAGAAAAUGAAAAGCAUACAUGUCAGAAUUUACCACAAGGACAAAGUGAUCUGUGCUUGAUAGUCACAUUAUUGAGAAUGUUUGGUUUUAUUGAGAAUCCAUUCACUAGUACAUCCCCAGAAGCAAAUAGCAAAAAGGAGGAAAGAAGAAAUUCCUGUUGCUGUACAACCAGUCCUACAAUCCUCUGGUAAGAACACUUCCGCCCCCAGGCUCAUUCCACUUCCUUCCACCACUUCCUGACUCACACCCCCAGGGACAUUGG
rnacentral:lncRNA from 1 species